GACGAACGCUGGCGGCGGGCUUAACACAUGCAAGUCGAACGGAAAGGCCCUGCUUUUGUGGGGGGCUCGAGUGGCGAACGGGUGAGUAACACGUGAGUAACCUGCCCUUGACUUUGGGAUAACUUCAGGAAACUGGGGCUAAUACCGGAUAGGAGCUCCUGCUUCAUGGGGGGGGUUGGAAAGUUUCGGCGGUUGGGGAUGGACUCGCGGCUUAUCAGCUUGUUGGUGGGGUAGUGGCUUACCAAGGCUUUGAAGGGUAGCCGGCCUGAGAGGGUGACCGGCCACAUUGGGACUGAGAUACGGCCCAGACUCCUACGGGAGGCAGCAGUGGGGAAUAUUGCACAAUGGGCGGAAGCCUGAUGCAGCAACGCCGCGUGCGGGAUGACGGCCUUCGGGUUGUAAACCGCUUUCGCCUGUGACGAAGCGUGAGUGACGGUAAUGGGUAAAGAAGCACCGGCUAACUACGUG
rnacentral:rRNA from 1 species